GGGGUAUGGCGUUGCGGGAAACAUAAGGCUAGUUGACUUGUGAACACUGAUGAAGCGUUUCUAUUCCAGCUCCUUCUCUGAAGAUCUGGGUUGCAGAGGUGGAGAGUUUAGCAGAAAGCAUUAUGGAUCUGUGAAGCUUCUGCUCCAUCUAGUGAUGCUGAUGGAGCCAUUCAAAGAGCUGGAUGGUUCCGGGUGGAGAAUGGCUCCUCUGGUGAGAACUUUUUCAUCUGUAAAUACCAUCUUACUAUUGGAAGAAAGAAGACCUCAUCUUCUAGAAAUAUUUGUAAGAUCUUGGUAAAGUGCAUAUUGAACUAAUAAUCAGCAAACUGUUACUGAUCAUCUGCUUGCAUCAGCACUGGCUGCAGAGUUGAAAGGAAUCUAACUAUUCUGCAUUGAUUCUUUGAGGAGUCAUGUUUGGUCCUCUGACUUUUUAGCUCAGUUUCAUGCACUGCAAAAGCUCGUAUCAUGGGAAGAUUUGUCGAAUGGGUGACAAACGGCCACGUGGUGAAUGGAGAAUGAGUAUGGAGAAUGGCUUUUUCUUUGCAUGUUAAUUCAUAGUAGGAAAGGACUUGAGGGAUGCGUGGGAAUUUACCUUAAUUUAUGAGAAACAGCACUGAAGAGCUUCCAAAGCAUGCUUUGGUCAAGCAAGGAGACUUUGAGAUCAGUGAGGACCGGUGCUCUGUGCAGCAGAGCAGUUCUGGAGCCGCAACCGCUGCGGGCACGGCGCCGUGG